UCCGGCGGUGACGUCGAGGAGGCCACACCCGAUCCCAUCCCGAACUCGGAAGUUAAGCUCCUCGGAGCCGAUGGUCCUGCACCGGUGACGGUGUGGGAGAGUAGGACGCUGCCGGGA
rnacentral:rRNA from 1 species